AAUGAACGUUGGCGGCGUGGAUUAGGCAUGCGAGUCGUACGAGAACCCGCAAGGGGAAGGUAGGCGAACGGGUAGGUAAUGCGUAGGUGACGUGCCCUGCGGUCGGGGAGUAGCUUAGGGAAACUUAAGGUAAUACCCGAUGACACCAUGCGGUUUGAAUACCAUAUGGUCAAAGGUGUGAUUCCACCACAGGAGCGGCUUGCGUGGUAUUAGCUAGUUGGUGAGGUAACGGCUCACCAAGGCAACGAUGCCUAGGGGAUGUUAGCGCAUGAUCCCCACCACUGGGACUGAGAUACUGCCCAGACACCUACGGGAGGCUG
rnacentral:rRNA from 1 species